UACGAAGGGUGCAAGCGUUACUCGGAAUUACUGGGCGUAAAGCGUGCGUAGGCGGCCAACUAAGUCGGACGUGAAAUCCCUCAGCUUAACUGGGGAACUGCGUCCGAUACUGGAUGGCUUGGAUUUGGGAGAGGGAUGCGGAAUUCCAGGUGUAGCGGUGAAAUGCGUAGAUAUCUGGAGGAACACCGGUGGCGAAGGCGGCAUCCUGGACCAAUAUUGACGCUGAGGAGCGAAAGCCAGGGGAGCAAACGGG
rnacentral:rRNA from 1 species